rnacentral:rRNA from 1 species
CUACGGGGGGUGCAAGCGUUAUUCGGAAUCACUGGGCGUAAAGGGCGCGCAGGCGGUUUGGUAAGUCAGAUGAGAAAGCCCGGGGCUCAACCCCGGAAGUGCAUUUGAUACUGCCUGACUUGAGUAUGGGAGAGGGAAGUGGAAUUCCUGGUGUAGAGGUGAAAUUCGUAGAUAUCAGGAGGAACACCGGUGGCGAAGGCGACUUCCUGGACCAAUACUGACGCUGAGGCGCGAAGGCGUGGGGAGCAAACAGGAUUAGAAACCCGGGUAGUCC